rnacentral:pre_miRNA from 10 species
CAGCUCUCACCCAGUGGCGAAUAUCUCGCUGGGGCCUCCAAAUGUUGUAACCAAGCGAGUUAUAGAGAAACGCUACACUCUGAGAUUAAUUCUGGAGUCCUUUAUUAG